AAGGAAUAUUGGUCAAUGGACGCAAGUCUGAACCAGCCAUGCCGCGUGAAGGAUUAAGGCCCUCUGGGUUGUAAACUUCUUUUAUAGGGGAAGAAAUGUGACGGUUCUCCGUCACUUGACGGUACCCUGGGAAUAAGCACCGGCUAACUCCGUGCCAGCAGCCGCGGUAAUACGGAGGGUGCAAGCGUUAUCCGGAUUCACUGGGUUUAAAGGGUGCGUAGGUGGGCAGAUAAGUCAGUGGUGAAAUCUUCCGGCUUAACCGGGAAACUGCCGUUGAGACUAUUUGUCUUGAAUAUUGCGGAGGUAAGCGGAAUAUGUCAUGUAGCGGUGAAAUGCUUAGAUAGGACAUAGAACACCAAUUGCGAAGGCAGCUUACUACACAAUCAUUGACACUGAGGCACGAA
rnacentral:rRNA from 1 species